rnacentral:rRNA from 1 species
GAUGAACGCUAGCGGGAGGCCUAACACAUGCAAGCCGAGCGGUAGAGUUCCUUCGGGAACUUGAGAGCGGCGUACGGGUGCGUAACACGUGUGCAACCUACCUUUAUCUGGGGGAUAGCCUUUCGAAAGGAAGAUUAAUACCCCAUAAUAUAUUGAAUGGCAUCAUUUAAUAUUGAAAACUCUGGUGGAUAGAGAUGGGCACGCGCAAGAUUAGAUAGUUGGUGAGGUAACGGCUCACCAAGUCUGUGAUCUUUAGGGGUCCUGAGAGGGGAAGCCCCGACACUAGUACUGAUACACGGACCAGACUCCUACGGGAGGCAGCAGUGAGGAAUAUUGGACAAUGGGUGGAAGCAUGAUACAGCCAUCCCGCGUGAAGGAUGACGGUCCUAUGGAUUGGAAACUUCUUUUGUACAGGAAUAAACCUAUUUACGUGUAAAUAGCUGAAGGUACUGUACGAAUAAGCACCGGCUAACUCCGUGCCAGCCGCCGCAGUAA